CUCCCUAAAUACAGGUGUGCCAAGCUUGUAGCGUCAUGCCCAAGAAGACUUGAGGCUGUAAUCGCUGCCAAAGGUGCUUCAACAAAGUACGGAGUCUGAAUACUUAUGUAAAUUUGAUAUUUCCGUUAUUUAUUUUUAAUACAUUUGCUUACAUUUCUAAAAACCUGUUUUGCUUUGUCAUUAUUGGGUAUAGUGUGUUGAUUGAUGAGAGGGAUUUUUUUUCUCCAUUUUAGAAUAAGGCUGUAACAUAACAAAAUGUGGAAAAAGUCAAGGGGUCUGAACACUUUCCAAAAUGUGCUGUACAUAUUUUAAUUAAUCUUAAUAGGAUUGUAUACUCAAUAUAAUGAUAAAAACAUCACAAGAUUACACUUAUUGACUGAAGUCAAAAUAAUUAAGACAAGACCCAAAUUCAGUUCUACAACACUCAUUUUAUUAAAACAAAAAUAUCUUCUCUCAUGUUAUUGUUACAGAACUUAUCCAGAAUGGCACUGUGUACAGGCAGAACAUUGGACAGUGGAACAGACGGUGACAGUAUUAUCGCUCAUAGACACAAACACAACGUGUUCAUUUCUUCCUUCUGUUCAACCCUGGCUCAUCCAUCUUUAUCUUAGUUCACCCCUUUCCAACCAAGACUGCAUAAAGAGGGAUGACUGGAGGAGAGGAACCAUGGCGUUUCAUUUGGAGCCCUCUUCAGCUUUCUUCUCCUGCUCGAUAUCUGUGAGAGAAAGAGCGAGCGAGGGAGGGGGAGAGCAAGAGACUUAGUGAUUAGUCUAUGUCUUGAUCACUGUUGUGAUGGAUACAUGGCAUAUUGAGUAAUCAAACUAUCAUAUAUAUUUGUUAAUCACCUCAUUUAUUUCAAAACACUCAAAACAGGACAUCACAACCCAUCCAAAAUGGAAGAUACUGUAUCAGAAAAUGGCAGUACAUCAUCAUACAGAACGUUAAAAUCACGAGCUAUCACUGAGCAAUAGAACACAGGAAGAUUCCACUCUCAUCAGGAGGGGGGCUGGUUGAGAGGCAGCUUCUGAGACAGAUGGUUCCUCUCCUGUCAUUGGCUCGUUAUCAGUCUGGCUGGUAAAACCGCCAGUCCAAUAGUCAAGCAUCUUUUAUUGUGCUAUCAACAACCCUCUCGUCAGGUUUCUACUGUAAAUCCUGCUAUCAACAACCCUCUCCUCGGGUUUCUACUGUAAAUCUUCAAGAGGUGUGUGUGAGGCUGUCUGAGUGAAGCUAUAUGGUAUGUCUGCUGGUAAUACUGCACUGUACAGCCCUGUCUAAGUUGGUACUUGCCAGAGUUUAUGGGGAAAUUGUGCUUUAAGAAAUAAAAUGGAAGACUACACAAUAGAACAUGGUAACAGAGUAAUUGUCAUGUCAUUUUAAUAUUAUGACCAUGUAAUACUGAUGUAAAUACCUGGAAAUAGAGAACUGGAAAUAGAAAGCCUAACCAACCAACUUCAAUUGGGGGUCUAGAUUUCAUUACUAGAGGUUCCUCCCUGCAUUGCAGUAUUCUCUGUCCUGGGGUGGGGGUUAUUGCAGUAUUCUCUGUCCUGGGGUGGGGGUUAUUGCAGUAUUCUCUGUCCUGGGGUGGGGGUUAUGAUGCUUACUACUGCUCUCCCAAUCACACCUCUUACCACACUGCUACGGACAGAGAACAUCUUGAAUAUCCACCCAAAUCACACCUCCUACCACACUGCUACUGACAAACAAUUUAUAUACAUUUCCACACUAUGAGUUUGGAAUAAUACUGUGAAAUUGUGAAAAGGAUGAUGCCAUUUCAGUGUAAGAGCUGUUUGAAAAAGCUGCCUGAAAUUUCAGCCUGUUUUGGUGGGAGUGAGAUUUGGCGUUCCAUGGUAACAUCACCAGGCGGUAAAAUGAGUUAAUAGACCAAUAAGAAAGAGAGUUCCAAACCCCUCUGCCAAUAACAGCUAAUUUUCUGUUUUCCGCUCCCCACUCAAAACCUGCUAAAUUCUUGCUUGAGAAAUUGCUCUUCGCUAAUAAGAUAUUUUUGUUUCUCUUUGACAAUUUUAACUCACAGCAAUCACAGCAACCACAGCAAUCACAGUAAUCACAGCAAUCACAGCAAUCACAGCAAUCACAGCAAUCACAGCAAUCACAGCAAUCACAGCAAUCACAGCAAUCACAGCAAUCACAGCAAUCACAGCAAUCACAGUAAUCACAGUAAUCACAGCAAUCACAGUAAUCACAGCAAUCACAGUAAUCACAUCAAUAGCCUAGUGGUUAGAGUGUAGAGGCGGCAGGUAGCCUAGUGGUUAGAGUGUAGA
rnacentral:lncRNA from 13 species